rnacentral:misc_RNA from 1 species
AACGCAAAUUGCACUCUCUGGUAUUCCGGGGAGUAUGCCUGUUUGAGGGUCUGUUUAAAUUAAAUCGAUGUGUUGCUUUCGGUGACACCUCGGAGUUUGGGUUAUCUUAGUAUUUCUAAGAGACCUAAAAUUGAUAUUUUUUGCGCAUUUUAGACGUAUAAGAUAUUUUAUUUGUCUGAUAUGCCAGAAUUUACUAGGUAUGACCAUGUUAUAUGGUUCCGUAUCUAUAAUAAUUUCAUUUUUUGACCUCAAAUCAGGUAAGAGUACCCGCUGAACUUAAGC